GCGGGAGGGAGGCGGCGGAAGGGGUCGGGAGCGGGGAAGGGGAAGCGGCUGGCGGGCGAAGGGGCUGGCGGAGGAAGUGGAAGCGGCUGGCGGCUGGCGGGAGCAGGGGAAGGGGUGGCGGAGGAAGCGGCUGGCGGCUGGCGGCUGGCGGCUGGCGGGGGAAGGCGAAGAGGCUGGGGGCGGGGGCGGGGGCGCGGUUGCCUGCAGAUCCCAAAGAGUCCUUUUCUUUCCGCGCCCCUUUACCACCACCCGUCUCGUCGCCCGCCUCGUUGCCCCCCGCCCUUCUUCUUCCUGUUCAAGCGACCACCGCCACGCAGGAGAAGAGAUUGGGCCCUCCUCGCUCUUCUGUACGAUCUACGAAAUUAACUCUUCCUUCAAGUCUUCUCCUACUUGUUUAAAUUCCCCUUCUCAGCCCUGUUCAAACUCGAGAGCCAUCUUCUACGUCCCGACGCUAACUUCUAACGGUUUCUCCUCGUCUGUAGUGAAAGCUGGAAUGGGUCUAAACUCGAACUGUAGCUGACACUAUAAAACCUCAUGUAAUUAGAAGACUUUCUAUCUUACAAAGUAGUGACUUGUGCACCCAGCAUAACGAAACCGCCACCUCAGCACCGGUGGGGUGGUUACCCGCUACUACUCUGUAAGUUGUACUAACUUAAGUACUUCUGUUGGGUUGCUCCGAGAUUCGCAAGACAAUACGUCACGUAAAAAACACUAUUACUAGAAAUGAUAGUUAACAAAUCUCGUUGAGGACUCUUCCUGCUUCUGUCCAUAUGAUUCCCCUUGAAAAUGUCUGAACCACCACGAUUUUCCCAUAAGGGCCUCUCGAAUAAACCUCUCGAAUUUCUAGAACUUCCUCGGGGACUCAGGAUAGUACUACAACUCGUCUAACGCCACAUGCGUUUACAUAAGUCCUUCUACCAACUCUUUCAGUUCUUCGAGUUUUUUCUUUGCCGAUUCUUCAAACUAGGACUAGCAAACGGGGAACACGUCGAAGGUUAGCAACGACAUACGCUCAGACUUUCCAAAGGUCGUCAUGAUUCCAAGUGCUGACCAUUGAAAAUGUCGAGUUGUGGCGUCGUGCAUUGAUCGUGCGAAGCCCUUGAACAUGUAUUGACCCCCUCCAACAGGUUCAACCGAAAGAACUACUAAGACCGACAGUAACUCAAACUGCACCCUACGAUGCUAACGUCUUUCUCGAAGUUGCUUCGAUCUCGAUUAAACGUGUUGUGGCACUCCCGCCAUAGAUGUGAACUUGAACUGAAGUCUCCAGGACUACCCGUAAAGUCGGACUUUUUCGACGACCCGCACCCGCCGACACAAGUACAGGAGUUCAAACUCAAACUACUACACUAGGCAUAAUAGUACUCCCGGUCUGUACUACGUGCUCCACGUUAGUCUCUCUAAGCUCGUUUUGACCUAUAGAGAUGUCGACCUCGACUACACCUCGAACGACCUCGACUACGGUUCUUCCACUAUAGAAGUGUACUCGCUUUUCUUCGAGUCUGGUCCCUCGAACGACCUCAAGCACGACUUCGACUACGACGACGAUCUCGACUACACUUCUUCUGCGUUCGCUUCCACAGUCAGAACUGGUCCCUCGAACGACCUCAAGCACGACUUCGACUACUACGACGAUCUCGACUACACUUCUUCUGCGUUCGCUUCCACAGUCAGAACUGUGGAAGUCUACCUCGACUACACUUACUCAACGUUUGCUUCCACGGUCAGGGCUGUUGUAGCGCUAGAAACCAACUCGAACGACCUCGACUACGGUUCUUCCACUAUAGAAGCGUACUCGCUUUUCUUCGAGUCUGGUCCCGCCACGGUGGACUACUUCAACUCACCCGUUCCACCGUCUUCACAUCCGCACGUCCAGAUUUCCAGUACCUGGAUGAGUACCUUACUUCUACAGACAAGAAGUACACGAUUGGACAGGCGAUUCUACGACAAAAGCGCAACCACUAAAGUCUUGAAGAGGUGACUUCCACUACCUACAUUUCAACACGUUACCGGCUACCGACUAUACACAUUAACAGGUAAGAGAGCCCAAAUCUUAUCAGUUAACUGAACUCAUACACCACACGUCAAGAACUACGACGAACUACAAUUACGUAUGGCCACUAAAAGGUGAACGUGUGACUUUAAAAGUCGAUACUAAGUGGUUGGAAACAUGUACAUAUACGUCGACUCUUUGAAUUAAACUCUUACAUAAGAACUACGAAUGAAGUCCGAGAGGAACAAUUACCCAUCGCGUG
rnacentral:rRNA from 1 species